UCAACCUCAUGUUCCAGAUGAGGGCUACACAGGAAGCAUGAAUUUCGAAUCUAGCCAGAAUAUAGUACGAGCUGAGCUGAGGCAACUUGGUAAGAACUUUGAAUUCUUAUUCACUGAAGAAGAAGUGAUACAUCCUAAACAGCGAGUUAUCAGCUGCAGCUGGAAACCUAUGUGGCCUAGGAAAGGACAGACAAGCUCCUGAGAACAACAGGGUACAACGUAUCCGUUUUAUGACACUACGACCAGACAGAUUCUACAAGGGACGAGGGCGAUCUCUGCUGGGCAAACCAGUCUUCCAUCUUCGACCCAUCAUGACACAGGAGAGAGACCAGACUCUCCUUCUGACAGCAGGAAGAGUCCUUCAGGGAAACCAGACCCUGAGACGUCCAAACCAGCAGGACGACAUCACUGCCCCCAGUGUGGAAAGAGUUUUACUCAGUUAGGGAGCCUGAGAACACACAAGAGAAUACACACUGGAGAGAAGCCUUACCACUGUUCCCAAUGUGGAAUGACGUUUACCCAGUUAGGGAGCCUGCAAAUGCAUGAGAGGAACACACAGGGGAAAAACUUUUCCAAUGUUCCUAUUGUGGAAAGAGUUGUACCCAGUUAGGGAGCCUGAAGGAGCAUGAGAGAAGACACACUGGAGAAAAGCCUUACCAAUGUUCCCAUUGUGGAAAGCAUUUUGCACAGUUAGGAAACCUGAACCAGCAUGAGAGGACACACACAGGAAAAAUGACGUACCACUGCUCCCACUGUGGAAAGAGAGUUACCCGGUUAAGGUACCUGAAAGAGCAUGAAAGAAUAGAUACAAAUAUGCCGGAGGAGAAGCCAUACCACAGCUCUCAUUGUGGAAAAACAUUUUCCCAGUCAGAGGACCUGAAAACACAUGAGAGAGGCUGUGUUCUGAAUUGUGUUUUUGACUGAGAAUGUGUGUUUUUGUUUGGGCUGUCAGACUUGAGAUAACUUUGUGUAAUGUUAGUGUACUAUUUUUUUAUUGCGAUUAAUCCAUUGUCUGAAAGUGUUGAAAAUACACUGAAAGCAUCCAAAAUGCAUACUAUAUACCGCUAAAAUCUACAAUUUCAUGUAAAAACAAGAUAACAUGGAGGUUAAAUAAAGUGCGCUUUAUCAAAGUAACAUAUUGUGACCCGUCCACUGAGGGGCGCUGUAGAUUCAGAAUAUCCAUAACAACUACAGGUCAAACAGGGAAAUGGUUCACAUCGUUUUUCCACCAUUCAUUUUCCCACAGGGCUGUGUUUUGUUUAGGCUCACCCUGGUGUGACGUUUUGAUAACCAUGUGAAUCUCUCUAGGACAAGGUGACUGAGGGCACACCAUGUGUUGUGAAUCUGUUGUAAUGUUUUUAAUAUUGUAUAACUGCCUUUAUUUUGCUGUACCCCAGGAAGAGUAGCUGCUGCCUUGGCAGGAACUAAUGGAGAUCCUUUAUUCACGGAUUCGAAAAUGCUAAUUAGCAUCAAAGUAGACGACAUGCAAGACUACUACUAAUAAUAAUAAACUUCUUCCAUUAAGUAUGAUGGAGGCCACUAAGACUACAAAUCCCUGCUGCUCCACGGAUUCAGACUACACAUAAUAAUAAUAACAAACUUCUUCCAUUAAGUAUGAUGGAGGCCACUAAGACUACAAAUCCCUGCAGCUCCAUGGAUUCAGACUACACAUAAUAAUAAUAAUAACAAACUUCUUCCAUUAAGUAUGAUGGAGGCCACUAAGACUACAAAUCCCUGCAGCUCCAUGGAUUCAGACUACACAUAAUAAUAAUAACAAACUUCUUCCAUUAGGUAUGAUGGAGACAACUAAGCCUAUAAAUCCCUGCAGCUCCACGGAUUCAGACUACAAAUAAUAAUAAU